rnacentral:rRNA from 1 species
AGUGAACGCUGGCGGUAGGCCUAACACAUGCAAGUCGAACGGCAGCACAGUAAGAGCUUGCUCUUACGGGUGGCGAGUGGCGGACGGGUGAGGAAUACAUCGGAAUCUACUUUUUCGUGGGGGAUAACGUAGGGAAACUUACGCUAAUACCGCAUACGACCUAUGGGUGAAAGCAGGGGAUCUUCGGACCUUGCGCGAUUGAAUGAGCCGAUGUCGGAUUAGCUAGUUGGCGGGGUAAAGGCCCACCAAGGCGACGAUCCGUAGCUGGUCUGAGAGGAUGAUCAGCCACACUGGAACUGAGACACGGUCCAGACUCCUACGGGAGGCAGCAGUGGGGAAUAUUGGACAAUGGGCGCAAACCUGAUCCAGCCAUACCGCGUGGGUGAAGAAGGCCUUCGGGUUGUAAAGCCCUUUUGUUGGGAAAGAAAAGCAGCAGGUUAAUACCCCGCUGUUCUGACGGUACCCAAAGAAUAAGCACCGGCUAACUUCGUG